rnacentral:rRNA from 1 species
GAGUUUGAUCAUGGCUCAGGACGAACGCUGGCGGCGUGCCUAACACAUGCAAGUCGAACGAAGCACUUGCAGCGGAAUCUUCGGAGGAAGCUGGAUUUGACUGAGUGGCGGACGGGUGAGUAACGCGUGGGUAACCUGCCUUACACAGGGGGAUAACAGUUAGAAAUGACUGCUAAUACCGCAUAAGCGCACGGGACCGCAUGGUCUUGUGUGAAAAGUAUUUCGGUGUAAGAUGGACCCCGCGUCUGAUUAGCUAGUUGGCGGGUAACGCCACAAGGCGACGAUCAGUAGCCGGCCUGAGAGGGUGGACGGCCACAUUGGGACUGAGACACGGCCCAAACUCC